CUAAAACCGUAUUGACAAUCAUUACAAGAUCUGAAUUAAAAGUAACAUCGCAACAUGUUUGAUCAUUUGUAUCAAUAAGUUUACUAUUUGCAUUAAAUGAUAGUAAGGACGUACUCAAUCAACGUGACCACCACUAGCAUCAUAAUGUAACGCAGUCUGUUCGUCACCAUCACGUAAAUUUACAUUAGCAUCCGAAUUGAGUAAAAAAUAUAAAAUUUCCAGUGCAUUGUGAUCUGCUGCCCUGUGGAUUAAAUAAAUGCCAUUUUCGUCUAAAUCAGAUUGGCUUCUUUGACAAAAUCAAAAACACCUGUUUCAUGUCCAGCUUUUUGUACUACAUCAUUUCGCGAUAGCUCAGUGAAAUGAACUACCCAACUUAAGGCAGGUUUAAAUUAAAGGCAGGUGCACUUUUUAACUUUGGCUGUCAAAGUGGAUCAAAUUGUUUUACC